rnacentral:rRNA from 1 species
AUGCAAGUCGAACGGUAGCACAGAGGAGCUUGCUCCUUGGGUGACGAGUGGCGGACGGGUGAGUAAUGUCUGGGAAACUGCCCGAUGGAGGGGGAUAACUACUGGAAACGGUAGCUAAUACCGCAUAACGUCGCAAGACCAAAGAGGGGGACCUUCGGGCCUCUUGCCAUCGGAUGUGCCCAGAUGGGAUUAGCUAGUAGGUGGGGUAACGGCUCACCUAGGCGACGAUCCCUAGCUGGUCUGAGAGGAUGACCAGCCACACUGGAACUGAGACACGGUCCAGACUCCUACGGGAGGCAGCAGUGGGGAAUAUUGCACAAUGGGCGCAAGCCUGAUGCAGCCAUGCCGCGUGUAUGAAGAAGGCCUUCGGGUUGUAAAGUACUUUCAGCGAGGAGGAAGGCNUUGNGGUUAAUAACCNUAGCGAUUGACGUUACUCGCAGAAGAAGCACCGGCUAACUCCGUGCCAGCAGCCGCGGUAAUACGGAGGGUGCAAGCGUUAAUCGGAAUUUACUGGGCGUAAAGCGCACGCAGGCGGUCUGUCAAGUCGGAUGUGAAAUCCCCGGGCUCAACCUGGGAACUGCAUCCCGAAACUGGCAGGCUAGAGUCUUGUAGAGGGGGGUAGAA